GUGAGGAAUAUUGGGCAAUGGGCGGAAGCCUGACCCAGCAACGCCGCGUGGAGGAAGACGGCCUUCGGGUUGUAAACUCCUUUUACGGGGGAAGAGGAAGGACGGUACCCCGAGAAUAAGUCACGGCUAACUACGUGCCAGCAGCCGCGGUAAUACGUAGGUGACAAGCGUUAUCCGGAAUUACUGGGCGUAAAGCGCACGCAGGCGGCGCAUUAAGUCUGACGUGAAAUCUCCCGGCUUAACUGGGAGGGGUCGUUGGAGACUGAUGUGCUUGAGGCGGUGAGAGGGGUGUAGAAUUCCCGGUGUAGUGGUGGAAUGCGUAGAUAUCGGGAGGAAUACCAGUGGCGAAAGCGGCACCCUGGCACUAGCCUGACGCUCAUGUGCGAAGGCGUGGGGAGCGAACGGGAUUAGAAACCCCAGUAGUCC
rnacentral:rRNA from 1 species